CCUACGGGAGGCUGCAGUGGGGGAUAUUGCACAAUGGGGGAAACCCUGAUGCAGCGACGCCGCGUGAGGGAAGACGGUUUUCGGAUUGUAAACCUCUGUCUUUGGGGACGAAUUGAGACGGUACCCAAGGAGGAAGCUCCGGCUAACUACGUGCCAGCAGCCGCGGUAAUACGUAGGGAGCAAGCGUUGUCCGGAAUUACUGGGUGUAAAGGGAGCGUAGGCGGGGAUGCAAGUUGGGUGUCAAAACUACCGGCUCAACCGAUAGUCGCACUCAAAACUGCAGCUCUUGAGUGAAGUAGAGGCAGGCGGAAUUCCUAGUGUAGCGGUGAAAUGCGUAGAUAUUAGGAGGAACACCAGUGGCGAAGGCGGCCUGCUGGGCUUUUACUGACGCUGAGGCUCGAAAGUGUGGGGAGCAAACAGGAUUAGAUACCCCAGUAGUC
rnacentral:rRNA from 1 species